AGGCUGGUCCCCCACCUCUCCUCACCUUCUCCGACGUUCCCGGUCUGGAGCGGGAGGGACGGACGCCGGCGAGGCCAGCCUCCCUUCACACACAGGUUUUAGAUCUUUCUAAACUAUUUGCUAUUGUUGUGUGAGAACUGAAUCAACUGAUGGAUAUCAAGAUUAUGUGGGAUGUUCUGCACAAUCAACUUGGGAAUAAUUAGCAAGUAGUGGUGUCAAUGGCAUCCGUCAGAGCCAUUUUGGUGGCACAUGCACACCACGUUCUGGAAUAACAUAAGUCUCACAAUCAACUUGGGCAGUUGAUGUAGGCUGCCUCAAUUUUCUGUCUGUGUAGCAGCAACAAGUUCAUGAAUCUACUGCUUGUUGCCUUUAUUAUUUUGAUCUAUGAAAAAAGAAAAUUUACCCUGUCAUUUAUGUAUGAAGGAGGAUGGAGGGAAUGUGGAUACGGCUUGGUUAGCAUCUAUUGAGGAAGUCACUAUGAAACAAGAGGAGAUGGAUAGGACUUUCAGAUCUGGCGUUCUCCCUGUCACUUACUGCCUGAUUUAUACACGGAAAUAAACAGAUAAUUUUACAGUCCGUACAUCGCAGGCCAAUAUAAAAAAGUACUUUUCCACUUCACAAAAUAAUACCUCAAAAGACACAUGUAUGAAGGGUAUACUGUUUUCCCAAUCAAAGUUGGAAACGGGCGCGCCAAUGUCAUUGCUCGGCUUAUCAUUGGAGUCGACAACAGAGCUCCCAUCGCAACAAACUGGGCUCAAUUCUUUCGCA